rnacentral:rRNA from 1 species
UACCAGCACCCCGAGUGGUCGGGACGAUUAUUGGGCCUAAAGCAUCCGUAGCCGGUUCUACAAGUCUUCCGUUAAAUCCAUCUGCUUAACAGAUGGGCUGCGGAGGAUACUAUGGAGCUAGGAGGCGGGAGAGGCAAGCGGUACUUAGUGGGUAGGGGUAAAAUCCGUUGAUCCAUUGAAGACCACCAGUGGCGAAGGCGGCUUGCCAGAACGCACUCGACGGUGAGGGAUGAAAGCUGGGGGAGCAAACCGG